CAGCCAGCUCAGCUGACAAGUAAACAAACAGCUUGAAAAUUACUGCACUCUGGUAUUGCCCCUAGCACACACUUCUGCCUGGGUGGUCAGCUGGGUCAGUAGGAGAUAUGUUCCCUCUUCACUUCCUAACAUUAAAAGACUGAUGAAGAGUUUCAAAGCACCAACAACAAUCUGCCCAAUUACAGAGCUGAAUGCCUCAAGGCAAGGAGGUGAAACCAGGCAGGAAGAAAGCAAAGGAAAGUGCCCGGUGCACCUCACGUGGUAUAUAAAAAUCUCAAGCCUUCUCGUCCAUCGAAGGAAAGCCAAGUGAUGAAGAAAAUGGAUGCUACAGUGAUAGGUCAACUGAGAGAGCCCUUUGAACAAUUAUAUCUGAGCACAGAAGACAUACGCUACAAAGGGAAACAUUCUUGGUCUGCCUUGGAGCUACGAAGCACCUUUUUCCUUGAUAUUCUGAACAUUGACGCAAUACAAUAAUUUGCAUGUA